rnacentral:rRNA from 1 species
GACGAACGCUGGCGGCGUGCUUAACACAUGCAAGUCGAACGGUAAGGCCCUUUCGGGGGUACACGAGUGGCGAACGGGUGAGUAACACGUGGGUGAUCUGCCCUGCACUUUGGGAUAAGCCUGGGAAACUGGGUCUAAUACCGGAUAGGACUACGCGAUGCAUGUCGUGUGGUGGAAAGCUUUUGCGGUGUGGGAUGGGCCCGCGGCCUAUCAGCUUGUUGGUGGGGUGAUGGCCUACCAAGGCGACGACGGGUAGCCGGCCUGAGAGGGUGUCCGGCCACACUGGGACUGAGAUACGGCCCAGACUCCUACGGGAGGCAGCAGUGGGGAAUAUUGCGCAAUGGGCGCAAGCCUGAUGCAGCGACGCCGCGUGGGGGAUGACGGCCUUCGGGUUGUAAACCCCUUUCAGCACAGACGAAGCGUAAGUGACGGUAUGUGCAGAAGAAGCACCGGCCAACUACGUG